GACGGAGGGUGCAAGCGUUGUUCGGAAUCACUGGGCGUAAAGCGCGUGUAGGCGGUUGAAUAAGCCGAAUGUGAAAUCCCGUGGCUUAACCACGGAAGUGCAUUCGGAACUGUUUGGCUUGAGUACGGGAGAGGGAAGUGGAAUUCCUGGUGUAGAGGUGAAAUUCGUAGAUAUCAGGAGGAACACCGGUGGCGAAGGCGGCUUCCUGGACCGAUACUGACGCUGAGACGCGAAAGCGUGGGGAGCAAACAGG
rnacentral:rRNA from 1 species